rnacentral:rRNA from 1 species
GACGAACGCUGGCGGCGUGCCUAAUACAUGCAAGUCGAACGCAGUGGGGACGGGUGCGUAACACGUGGGUAACCUCCCAUCAGAGGGGAUAAACCUUGGCAACAGGUGCUAAACCGAUACUGAUGGAUGGACCCGCGGUGCUUUAGCUAGUUGGUGAGGUAAAGGCUCACCAAGGCCACGAUGCAUAGCCGACCUGAGAGGUGGAUCGGCCACACUGGAACGGAGACACGGCCCAGACUCCUACGUGAGGCAGCAGUAGGGAAUCUUCAGCAAUGGACGAAAGUCUGACCGAGCCACGCCGCGUGAGUGAAGAAGGUUUUCGGAUCGUAAAACUCUGUUGUUAGAGAAGCGGUAUCUAACCAGAAAGCCACGGCUAACUACGUGCCAGCCGCCGCGGUAAUUC